rnacentral:lncRNA from 1 species
UUUGUAUACAUGAGUUUCAUCUUUAAAGUUUAUAAAACAGUUAUCAUUAAUUGGCGAUAAAAAUCUAGCUGAUACAAUUAUAAAUAUUUUGCUCUUACUGCCAACAGACACUAUUUUGUC